rnacentral:rRNA from 1 species
ACGAACGCUGGCGGCGUGCCUAAUACAUGCAAGUCGAGCGGGCGGGGUGGGAGACCACCGCGUCAGCGGCGGACGGGUGAGGAACACGUGAGUGACCUAGCUGGGGGCGGGGGAUAUCGGGCCGAAAGGCGCGGCAAUCCCGCAUACGCCCUGGGUAGCGACGGCGCCAGGGGAAAGCGCGGGAGCGCACCCCCAGGGGGGCUCGCGGCCCAUUAGCUAGUUGGGGGGGUAAGGGCCUCCCAAGGCGACGAUGGGUAGCCGGCCUGAGAGGGUGGACGGCCACACUGGGACUGAGACACGGCCCAGACUCCUACGGGAGGCAGCAGUAGGGAAUCUUCCACAAUGGGCGCAAGCCUGAUGGAGCAACGCCGCGUGAGUGAAGACGGCCUUCGGGUUGUAAAGCUCUGUCGGUGCGGACGAGGACCCGCGGGGGGCCGCGGGGGGGCCGGUACGCGCCGAGGAAGCCCCUGCAAACUACGUGCCAGCAGCCGCGGUAAGACGUAGGGGGCGAGCGUUGUCCGGAAUGACUGGGCGUAAAGGGCGUGUAGGCGGACCGGUACGUAGCGAUUUUAAGCCGUCGGCUCAGCCGGCGGAGGGUUGCUAAACGGCGGGUCUGGAGGGCAGGAGAGGUGCGGGGAAUUCCUGGUGGAGCGGUGAAAUGCGUAGAGAUCAGGAAGAACACCGGUGGCGAAGGCGCCGCACUGGACUGACCCUGACGCUGAGGCGCGACAGCGUGGGGAGCGAACGGGAUUAGAUACCCCGGUAGUCCACGCCGUAAACGAUGGGGACUAGGUGUUGCGCGGGUGCACCGCGCGGUGCCGGAGCUAACGCACUAAGUCCCCCGCCUGGGGAGUACGGCCGCAAGGUUGAAACUCAAAGGAAUUGACGGGGGCCCGCACAAGCAGUGGAGCAUGUGGUUUAAUUCGACGCAACGCGAAGAACCUUACCAGGGCUAGACGGGACCGUGAGCGUCGCGAAAGCGGCGGGCGCUGGGGGGAACUCUGGCGAGCGGUCGGCAGGUGCUGCAUGGUUGUCGUCAGCUCGUGUCGUGAGAUGUUGGGUUAAGUCCCGCAACGAGCGCAACCCUCGUCGGCUGUUGCCAGCGGUGCGGCCGGGCACUCAGUCGAGACCGCCGGGGACGACCCGGAGGAAGGUGGGGAUGACGUCAAAUCCGCAUGGCCUUGAUGCCCUGGGCGACACACGUGCUACAAUGGCGCCGACAACGGGAGGCGACCGCGCGAGCGGGAGCGGAUCCCUCAAAGGGCGUCGUAGUUCGGAUUGCAGGCUGCAACUCGCCUGCAUGAAGGCGGAAUUGCUAGUAAUCGCGGAUCAGCAUGCCGCGGUGAAUCCGUUCCCGGGCCUU